UACGGAGGAUGCAAGCGUUAUCCGGAAUGAUUGGGCGUAAAGCGUCCGCAGGUGGCAUUUCAAGUUUGCGGUUAAAGGUUCUGGCUCAACCAGAGACAAGCCGUGAAAACUGAGAAGCUAGAGUAUGGUAGGGGCAGAGGGAAUUCCCAGUGUAGCGGUGAAAUGCGUAGAGAUUGGGAAGAACACCGGUGGCGAAAGCGCUCUGCUAGGCCGGGUCUGACACUCAGGGACGAAAGCUAGGGGAGCGAAUGGG
rnacentral:rRNA from 1 species